rnacentral:misc_RNA from 1 species
GUAGACAAGAACAAACUAUACUGGUAUCAGAGUGAAGACCGAGAAGCAGAUGGAGAAGGGCACUGGACAGAGAGAAUGGUGUUAUACAGAGAUCACGUACAAGUCAACAGAGUCCUGCUGAAACUGGCAGACGUAUAGCUAGGCACAUGCAUCUGUCUAUUGGUUAAAUAAAUAAAGCUGCAUCGUCCAACCUUUUAACAU